rnacentral:rRNA from 1 species
AGUGAACGCUGGCGGCAGGCCUAACACAUGCAAGUCGAACGGCAGCACAGUAAGAACUUGCUCUUACGGGUGGCGAGUGGCGGACGGGUGCCUAUUAUAUCGGAAUCUACUUUUUCGUGGGGGAUAACGUAGGGAAACCUCCGCUAAUACCGCAUAUGACCUACGGGUGAAAGCACGGGUUCUUCGGACCUUGUGCGUUUGAAUGAGCCGAUGUCGGAUUAGCUAGUUGGCGGGGUAAAGGCCCACCAAGGCGACGAUCCGUAGCUGGUCUGAGAGGAUGUUCAGCCACACUGGAACUGAGACACGGUCCAGACUCCUACGGGAGGCAGCAGUGGGGAAUCUUGGGCAAUGGGCGCAAGCCUGAUCCAGCCAUACCGCGUGAGUGAAGAAGGCCUUCGGGUUGUAAAGCCCUUUUGUUGGGAAAGAAAAGCAGCAGGUUAAUACCCCGCGGUUCUGACGGUACCCAAAGAAGAAGCACCGGCUAACUUCGUG